AGCUAUCUUCACCACCGGCCUCCAUCUCCAAAAGCGUUGGAACCUCUAUUUCUUCUUCUCCCUUUCAUAAAAAAUUGAUUCGCUCCCCAAAACUCGCCGAAAUACCUGAACACUCGACCAUACUCACGCACACAUCCAAACAACCACCCUCAUCUCCUACAUCCUAAAGCAGCACAAAAACACACACACUUAACCUCUAAAAUCCACCGGAAAACCCGCCGCACUACCCCUCCUCUUCAACCUAGAACGAGCAGCCAACAGAGGGG
rnacentral:lncRNA from 1 species